GACGUAGGAGGCGAGCGUUGUCCGGAUUCAUUGGGCGUAAAGAGCGCGCAGGCGGCUUGGUAAGUCGGAUGUGAAAUCCCGAGGCUCAACCUCGGGUCUGCAUCCGAUACUGCCCGGCUAGAGGUAGGUAGGGGGAGAUCGGAAUUCCUGGUGUAGCGGUGAAAUGCGCAGAUAUCAGGAGGAACACCGGUGGCGAAGGCGGAUCUCUGGGCCUUACCUGACGCUCAGGCGCGAAAGCCUAGGGGAGCGAACAGG
rnacentral:rRNA from 1 species